rnacentral:lncRNA from 1 species
CCAGUCUCUCCGAUUCUCUAUUAGAUCCAUCUCUCUCCCGAAACACUUCAUUCAGCCGCCUCAAUGCCCAGGCCCCAGAGUUCGUCCCCAAUCGGAGUCCCGCCGCCGCAUCCCCGCCGCCUCUCCCUCAGCCGCUCUACUCUCCGCCUCUCACUCCCGCUCCUUUCCAUGUUCCGAUCCAGGUCGUCCCUCCUCCUCCGCCUCCUCUCGUCCAUCACCGUCAUCACUUGCCCGUUCACUACCAUCACCAUCCC